AGAAACUUAGGUUAAACAUAAACCAAGAGCCUUCAAAGCCCUAAAUAGAGGAAAAUCACACCCCCUAGUUUCUG
rnacentral:tRNA from 1 species